GAUGAAGAACGCAGCGAAAUGCGAUAAGUAGUGUGAAUUGCAGAAUUCAGUGAAUCAUCGAAUCUUUGAACGCACAAUGCGCCCCUCGGUAUUCCGUGGGGCAUGCCUGUUCGAGCGUCAUUUAACCCCUCAAGCCUAGCUUGGUAUUGGGUGCUUGUCCCGCCUCUCGCGCGGCGACUCACCUCAAAGUCAUUGGCAGCCCGCAUCUCGCCGGCCGUGAGCGCAGCACAGACGCGCUCUUGGCAACGACGGAUCGGCUCUCCAAAAGCUUAUUUCAACCACUGACCUCGGAUCAGGUAGGGAUACCCGCUGAACUUAAGCAUAUCAAUAAGCGGAGGA
rnacentral:misc_RNA from 1 species